AUUGAACGCUAGCGGCAUGCUUUACACAUGCAAGUCGAACGAGUGGCGGACGGGUGUGUUAUAUAUCGGAACGCGCCCUGUAGCGGGGGAUAACUACUCGACAGUGUGGCUAAUACCGUAUACUCUUGGAGCGGCCGAUAUCGGAUUAGCUAGUUGGUGGGGUAACGGCUCACCAAGGCAACGAUCCGUAGCUGGUUUGAGAGGACGACCAGCCAAAAUGGGACUGAGACACGGCCCAGACUCCUACGGGAGGCAGCAGUGGGGAAUUUUGGACAAUGGGAGAAACCCUGAUCCAGCCAUGCCGCGUGUAUGAGAAGGCCUUCGGGUUGUAAAGUACUUUUGGCAGAGAAGCGGUAUCUGCAGAAUAAGCACCGGCUAACUACGUGCCAGCAGCCGCGGUAAUUC
rnacentral:rRNA from 1 species